rnacentral:rRNA from 1 species
AUGAAAGUCAAAGAGUUCUACCUUGUGGGGAGGAGGGUGUUACUUAAUUCUGGUAACCUUGCUAGAGUGUGGGUUGAUUGUAUCAAUAAUGAUACUCCUCUGUGUGAUCAAUACCAGGCGUUGUAUAGUGUGUGUAAUGAUCAGGGGAUCACUGUGGCUAGUUUUAAAAAUGGUGUGGAUGAUAAUUUCUUUCGGAGACGUCUCCACCCCCCUUUAAUAGAGCAGUGGAGGGAAAUGCAAAAUGUGGUAGCCUCGUGGUCAACCAACAAUGAACCUGAUCAGGUUGUGUGGGCCUUGGGGGGAAAGAAGGGCAAGUUCACCACCAAGUCAGUUUACAAGUACCAGGAAAGAACCCUGGCUGGGUGUAACUAUAAAUGGAUUUGA